GGGGGCGGUGCUCGGUUCGUUCCUCCGUCGCAGAAGAAGAAGUGUUUUUUUCCGGCGGUGCUUUCGGAGCGACUCAGUCUAGUUUGAGCAUCAGGAGCUUUAUUUGGUUCAUUUGGUUCAUUUGGUUCGUUUGGUUCGUUUGGUUCGGUUCUGAAGGAUCCAAUGUAUCGUGACCGGCCCCCAACGAGGGGCGGAUACCCACGGCCCUACCCGCCGGCCUUCAGGUCCAAACAUCCGUACGACCCGGCCUACAGCCACCACCGGGACCCGGGCCCGUACCGACCCUACCCGAACCACCACAACCACCCCAGCCCGGGGGAGUACCGGUCCGGAGGGCCGAGCUCUGAGGGGGGCGACUCUGCUGUUUGGUAGACGGCAUGAAGAAAAGGCUGCUAAAUGAUCCUGAAUGCUUCACCUCCUGUAGAACUCAAUGGACUGAAAGGGGCGAUUCACGUCAUCAGUGAUGUCAUUUCAACAUGGCGGCGCACAGACUCUAAAAUGUCCUCACACUUUGAACCAAACCUGCUCAUCACCGUCGGCAACCAGCCCGGCAAAUCUACAGGUCCCGCCCCCUCACGCCACCCUGACAGGGGCUUUCUGCCCCGUCCUGAAUAUGAGCGCGUUCGGGGGCGGAGCAAGAGCCGGGGGCGGAGCAAGAGCCGGGGGCGGAGCAAGAGCCGGGGGCGGAGCAAGAGCCGGGGGAGGAGCAAGAGCCGGGGGCGGAGCAAGAGCCGGGGGCGGAGCAAGAGCCGGCACUUCAGUCCGGACCAUGAACGCGCCAAGAGCCAGGAGCGGAGCAAGAGUCGCCCUCGCAGUUGGUCUCGGUCCAGGUCCCGGUCUAAGUCCAGGUCCAGAGGACGAAGCAGAGGGAGAUCUUAUGGGCAGAGCCAAGUAUCCGGCCACGCUCGCAGCAAGAGCCGCCCUCGGAGCCGCAGCAGCUCCAGCUCCUCCAGCGGCAGCUCCAACAUGUUCCUGGACUCAGCGUUCUCUGAGCUGGGGAGGGCCCGCAGACAGAAGGAGAUGGACGACCUCCUCAACAUUCCCACAAAGUCCAUCCUCAAAAAGUACAGCGACUCUCCCUCAGUCACGGUAAGACAUCCAUCCACUAAUUUUUCCCAAAUACUGUUUUCCACAUUAAUUUUUUAAAAUUCCGUGUUUUA
rnacentral:lncRNA from 1 species